rnacentral:lncRNA from 1 species
CACAGGGUCUCCCCUGUCACCCAGGCUAGAGUGCAGUGGUGUGAUCAUGGCUCACUGCAGCCUUAGAACUCCUGAGUUCAAGUGAUCUUCCAGCACCAGCCUCCUAAGCAGCGGAGAUUACAGGCUGUGACACCAAUAAAGAUUAAAAUGCCCAUAAGAGAAGAGGAAAAGAAAGCACUGAGUCUCCAAAACUGCAUAAUCAAAGUAAAUAAAAUUAAAUAUUUCAGAGCU